UACAGAGGGUGCAAGCGUUGUUCGGAAUUAUUGGGCGUAAAGCGCAUGUAGGCGGCUUUGCAAGUCGGGUGUGAAAGCCCUCGGCUCAACCGAGGAAGUGCGCCCGAAACUGCAGAGCUUGAGUACCGGAGAGGAUGGCGGAAUUCCCCAAGUAGAGGUGAAAUUCGUAGAUAUGGGGAGGAACACCGGUGGCGAAGGCGGUCACCUGGACGGAUACUGACGCUGAGACGCGAAAGCGUGGGGAGCAAACAGG
rnacentral:rRNA from 1 species